UACGAGGGGGGCGAGCGUUGUUCGGAAUUAUUGGGCGUAAAGAGCGUGUAGGCGGCCAGAUAGGUCCGUUGUGAAAACUCGAGGCUCAACCUCGAGACGCCGAUGGAAACCAUCUGGCUAGAGUCCGGAAGAGGAGAGUGGAAUUCCUGGUGUAGCGGUGAAAUGCGCAGAUAUCAGGAAGAACACCCGUGGCUAAGGCGGCUCUCUAGUACGGUACUGACGCUGAGACGCGAAAGCGUGGGGAGCGAACAGG
rnacentral:rRNA from 1 species